UAUAUCUUAUUGUACGGAGCAUGCAAACUUUUGAUGUUUGAGGUAGCAGUUUGAUUCUGCCAGAUGUAA
rnacentral:tRNA from 1 species